GGGUGGUUAGCUCAGUGGUAGAGCACUGCCUUCACACGGCAGGGGUCACAGGUUCGAACCCUGUAUCACCCACCA
rnacentral:tRNA from 5 species